rnacentral:rRNA from 1 species
CUUGAACGCUGGCGGCAGGCUUAACACAUGCAAGUCGAGCGGGGUGAUGGUGCUUGCACUAUCACUUAGCGGCGGACGGGUGAGUAAUGCUUAGGAAUCUGCCUAUUAGUGGGGGACAACAUCUCGAAAGGGAUGCUAAUACCGCAUACGUCCUACGGGAGAAAGCAGGGGAUCACUUGUGACCUUGCGCUAAUAGAUGAGCCUAAGUCGGAUUAGCUAGUUGGUGGGGUAAAGGCCUACCAAGGCGACGAUCUGUAGCGGGUCUGAGAGGAUGAGCCGCCACACUGGGACUGAGACACGGCCCAGACUACUACGGGAGGCAGCAGUGGGGAAUAUUGGACAAUGGGGGGAACCCUGAUCCAGCCAUGCCGGGUGUGUGAAGAAGGCCUUAUGGUUGUAAAGCACUUUAAGCGAGGAGGAGGCUCUUUUGGUUAAUACCCAAGAUGAGUGGACGUUACUCGCAGAAUAAGCACCGGCUAACUCUGUGCCAGCCGCCGCAGUAAUAC